rnacentral:piRNA from 1 species
UCAGAAGGAGAGCCUUAGCCUUGUCUG